rnacentral:rRNA from 1 species
GUAAUCGCGGAUCAGAAUGCCGCGGUGAAUACGUUCCCGGGUCUUGUACACACCGCCCGUCACACCAUGGGAGUCGGAAAUGCCCGAAGUCUGUGACCCAACCAUUAAGGAGGGAGCAGCCGAAGGCAGGUCUGAUGACUGGGGUGAAGUCGUAACAAGGUAUC